rnacentral:tRNA from 1 species
GGUUCCGUAGUGUAGUGGUUAUCACGUUCGCUUAACACGCGAAGUGUCUCCGGUUCGAUCCCGGACGAAACCA